rnacentral:rRNA from 1 species
GAUGAACGCUGGCGGCGUGCCUAAUACAUGCAGGUCGAGCGAACGGACGAGACUCUUGCUUCUCUGAUGUUAGCGGCGGACGGGUGAGUAACACGUGGAUAACCUACCUAUAAGACUGGGAUCACUUCGGGACACCGGCUCUAAUACCGUAUAAUAUUUUGCACCGCAUUGUUCAUUAGUGAAAGACGGUCUUGCUGUCACUUCUAGCUGGAUCCGCGCUGCAUUAGCUAGUUGGUACGGUAACGGCUUACCAAGGCAACGAUGCCUAACCGACCUGAGAGGGGGAUAGGCCACACUGGAACUGAGACACGGUCAAGACUCCUAAGGGAGGCAGCAGUAGGGAAUCUGACGCAAUGGGCGAAAGCCUGACGGAGCAACGGCGAGUGAGUGAUGAAGGUCUUCGGAUCGUAAAAAUCGGUUAUUAGGGAAGAACAGAUGUGUAAGUAACUGUGCACAGAUUGACGGUACCUAAUCAGAAAGCCACGGCUAACUACGUG